rnacentral:rRNA from 1 species
AGUGAACGCUGGCGGUAGGCCUAACACAUGCAAGUCGAACGGCAGCACAGUAAGAGCUUGCUCUUACGGGUGGCGAGUGGCGGACGGGUGAGGAAUACAUCGGAAUCUACUUUUUCGUGGGGGAUAACGUAGGGAAACUUACGCUAAUACCGCAUACGACCUACGGGUGAAAGCAGGAGAUCUUCGGACCUUGCGCGAUUGAAUGAGCCGAUGUCGGAUUAGCUAGUUGGCGGGGUAAAGGCCCACCAAGGCGACGAUCCGUAGCUGGUCUGAGAGGAUGAUCAGCCACACUGGAACUGAGACACGGUCCAGACUCCUACGGGAGGCAGCAGUGGGGAAUAUUGGACAAUGGGCGCAAGCCUGAUCCAGCCAUACCGCGUGGGUGAAGAAGGUCUUCGGGUUGUAAAGCCCUUUUGUUGGGAAAGAAAAGCAGCAGGUUAAUACCCCGCUGUUCUGACGGUACCCAAAGAAUAAGCACCGGCUAACUUCGUG